UAUAUACGUUCCUUGUCAUUGAAAAAUAAAAUAAUAUAUAUAUAUAUCCCCUUUAUUGAAAAGUUUUACCUUCAAAAGAUUUAUUUGGAUUUAUUGAAUCUUUUGACCCAAAACUAUCCUGAGGAAUUUGAUGGAGCUCUUGAUUUUAUUUCAAUGGCUGUCACAUGCUACUUUAGCAAGUGUGAAACCCUGUUAGCUGGUGGUUGCAAUGAUAGAAAAAUAGUCGUCUAUGAUUUCUUUACAAGAGGAACAGUGAAGAUCAUCAGUACUCAUCUACAGCCAGUCUGUUCACAAUGCUGGUCAAGGUGUAGAACACAAAUUUUAAGUGCAUCUACAGAAUAGCACCAUAGCUAUUUGGGAAGUUCACCUUGGAAAAUGUAACCAAAGGUACAGGUUUUCGUCACCAAUUCUAAAAGUUCAGUUUCACCCAAGGAAAGCUGAAACUUUUCUAGUUUGUCCCAUGAGACAUGCAGCUGUACUUGUUGAAUUAGAAGAAAAUCACAAGUUACCCUUAGAUGAAGAAGAUGUCAGUAUAUUUAUACUGGUACUGGGUUCAUCCUGGGACUGAGUGCCACAUCACUAGAAGUUAAUUUUCACCUGUUUUUCGGUUCCGAGGUACGAGCAGCUAAGAAUUCAAGACUAAAGCCAGUUUAGUACUGAUGAUUGUCAAAUAGGAUUUUUAUCUUUUAGAGAAUUUAUACUGUUCAAAGACUUGCCGAGCUGGUUGAGCUAUUUAU